AUUACCCUGGAGUGUGCGUGAUUUAUGCCUCGGCGCUGACCUGACAAGCAUCAAAUAAGGGGGUCGUCCCUGCUUUUCGUGUGCAUGCCCGGCGUGACCGGGAAGCCUGAAAGAAGCACACAGACGCCCGACCUGGUAAUCCAGGUUCUGAGCCGUAAGCUGACACGGCAUUUUGGGGUAUGA
rnacentral:other from 1 species